AACCCUAAUGCUGGCCAAAUGGAAAAAGUUCAGUUUAGGGUUUAAAACCCUAAUGCUGACUAAAAGGAAAAAGUUCAGUUUAGGGUUUAAAAUCCUAAUGCUGAUUGCAUGAAAAAGCUCAGUUUAGGGUUUAAAACCCUAAUGCUGGCUGAAAGGAAAAUUCAGUUUAGGGUUUAAAACCCUAAUGCUGACUAAAAGAAAAAUUCAGUUUAGGAUUUAAAACCCUAAUGCUGAUUGCAUGGAAAAAGCUCAGUUUAGGGUUUAAAACCCUAAUGUUGGCUGAAAGGAAAAGUUCAGUUUAUGGUUUAAAACCCUAAUGCUGACUAAAAGGAAAAUUCAGUUUAGGGUUUAAAACCAUAAUGCUGAUUGCAUGAAAAAGCUCAGUUUAGGGUUUAAAACCCUAAUGCUGGCUGAAAGGGAAAAGUUCAGUUUAGGGUUUAAAACCCUAAUGCUGACUAAAAGGAAAAGUUCAGUUUAGGGUUUAAAACCCUAAUGCUGAUUGCAGGAAAGAGUUCAGUUUAGGGUUUAAAACUCUAAUGCUGGCUGAAAGGAAAAAGUUCAGUUUAGAGUUUAAAACUCUAAUGCUGGCUGAAAGGAAAAAGUUCAGUUUAGGGUUUAAAACCCUAAUGCUGACUAAAAGGAAAAUUCAGUUUAGGGUUUAAAACCCUAAUGCUGAUCGGCUGGGGAUUUAGGGUUUAAAACCCUAAUGCUGAUCGGCUGGGGAUAAAAUUCGAGAAUACUACAC
rnacentral:lncRNA from 1 species